GACCGCGUAGCUCAGUUGGAAGAGCAUUGGGCUAGUAUUCCAAAGGUCGUAGGUUCGAAUCCCACAUUGGCCG